rnacentral:rRNA from 1 species
UACGUAGGGCGCAAGCGUUGUCCGGAAUUAUUGGGCGUAAAGAGCUCGUAGGCGGCCUGUUGCGUCCGCUGUGAAAUCCCGGGGCUCAACCCCCGGGCCUGCAGUGGAUACGGGCUGGCUGGAGGCAGGCAGGGGGAGAACGGAAUUCCUGGUGUAGCGGUGAAAUGCGCAGAUAUCAGGAGGAACACCGGUGGCGAAGGCGGUUCUCUGGGCCUGUUCUGACGCUGAGGAGCGAAAGCGUGGGGAGCGAACAGG